UUGAACGCUGGCGGCAGGCCUAACACAUGCAAGUCGAGCGGCAGCGCGGGGCAACCUGGCGGCGAGCGGCGAACGGGUGAGUAACGCGUAGGAAUCUACCCAGUAGCGGGGGAUAGCCCGGGGAAACUCGGAUUAAUAUCGCAUACGCCCUAAGGGGGAAAGCAGGGGAUCUUCGGACCUUGCACUAUUGGAAGAGCCUGCGUUGGAUUAGCUAGUUGGUAGGGUAAAGGCCUACCAAGGCGACGAUCCAUAGCUGGUCUGAGAGGAUGGUCAGCCACCCCGGAACUGCGACACGGUCCGGACUCCUACGGGAGGCAGCAGUGGGGAAUAUUGGACAAUGGGGGCAACCCUGAUCCAGCCAUGCCGCGUGUGUGAAGAAGGCCUUCGGGUUGUAAAGCACUUUAAGUGGGGAGAAAGGCUCGGCAGCUAAUAUCUGCCGGGAUUGAUGCUACCCACAGAAUAAGCACCGGCUAACUCUGUGCCAGCAGCCGCCGUAA
rnacentral:rRNA from 1 species